GAUGAAGAACGUAGUGAAAUGCGAUAAGUAAUGCGAAUUGCAGAAUUUCCGUGAGUCAUCGAAUCUUUGAACGCACAUUGCGCCCAUUAGUAUUCUAGUGGGCAUGCCUGUUCGAGCGUCAUUAAUUCCACUUAAGCCCUGCUUAGUGUUGGGAAUCUACUCUAGUGGUGCUACCCUGGAGCUACCCCUGAAAGGGGGCUGGCCCGGUAGCUACCCUGUAGUUCCUCAAAGAUAGUGCGCGGAGUUGCGUGGUCCUCUGAGCUUAGUAACUAUACACCUAGCUUUUGAGUGUCCCGCGGCGCCUGCCGUUUAAACCCCAUCUUUUAAUGGUUGACCUCGGAUCAGGUAGGAAUACCCGCUGAACUUAAGCAUAUCAAUAAGCGGAGGA
rnacentral:misc_RNA from 1 species